rnacentral:rRNA from 1 species
UACGUAGGGUGCAAGCGUUGUCCGGAAUUAUUGGGCGUAAAGAGCUCGUAGGCGGUUUGUUGCGUCGGCUGUGAAAUCCCGAGGCUCAACCUCGGGUCUGCAGUCGAUACGAGCAAACUAGAGUGUUGCAGGGGAGACUGGAAUUCCUGGUGUAGCGGUGAAAUGCGCAGAUAUCAGGAGGAACACCGGUGGCGAAGGCGGGUCUCUGGGGCAACAACUGACGCUGGAGGAGCGAAAGCCGUUGGGGAGCGAACAGG